UAGAGACGGGGUUUCACCAUGUUAAGACAGGAUGGUCUCAAUCUCCUGACCUCGUGAUCCGUCCGCCUCGGCCUCCCAAAGUGCUGGGAUUACAGGCGUGAGCCACUGCACCCGGCCCUAAUUUUGUAUUUUUAGUAGAGAUGGGGGUAUCUCCAUGUUGGUCAGGCUGGUCUCGAACUCCCAACCUCAGGUGAUCUACCUGCCUCGGCUUCCCAAAGUGUUGGCACUACAGGCGUGAGCCACCGAGCCUGGCAUUUUUGUAGAGACAGGUUUCUCCAUGUCACUUACACUGGUCUCAAACUCCUGGAUUCAAGGGAUUCACCCACUGCAGCCUCCCAGAGUGCUGGGAUUACAGGUGUGAGCCACCCCGCCUAGCUAAUUUUCCGGUUUCUUAAUUGCCUUUUUUUUUUUUUUUUUUUUUUGAGACGGAGUUUUGCUCUUGUUGCCCAGUUGCCCAGGCUGGAGUGCAAUGGCACGAUCUCGGCUCACCGCAACCUCCGCCUCCUGGGUUCAAACAAUUCUCCUGCCUCAGCCUCCCGAGUAGCUGGGAUUACAGACAUGCACCACGCCUGGCUAAUUUUGUAUUCUUAAUUGGCUUUUUUAAAAAAAUUAUUGCCGAGAUGGUGGCUCAUGCCUGUAAUCCCAGCACUUUUGGAGGCUGAGGUGGGUGGAUCACGAGGUCGGGAGUUUGAGACCAGCCUGGCCAACAUGGUGAAACCGUCUCUAGUAAAAAUACAAAAAAUUAGCCGGGUGUCGUGGCGCGCGCCUGUAGUCUCAGCUAUUCAGGAAGCUAAGGCAGAAGAAUCACUUGAACCCGGGAGGUGGAGGUUGCAGUGAGCUGAGAGCUGAGAUCGUACCACUGAACUCCAGCUUGGGCAACACAGCGAGAGUCCGUCCCAAAAAGAAAAAGAAAAUUAUUAUUAUUGGCCAGGCAUGGCGGCUUACACCUGUAAUCCCAGCACUGUGGGAGGCUGAAGCGGGUGGAUAACCUGAGGACCAGAGUAGGAGACCAGCCUGGCCAACAUGGUGAAACCCUGUCUCUACUACAAAUACCAAAAAUUAGCCGAGCGUGGUCGCACACACCUGUAACCCCAGCUACUUGGGAUGCUGAGGCAAGAGAAUUACCUGAACCCCGGGAGGUAAAGAUUGCAGUGUUCUGAGAUCACACCAUUGCACUCCAGCCUGGGCAACAGGAGUGUAACUCCAUCUCAAAAUAUAUAUAUAUAUAUUAUUAUUAUUUUGGUAAUUUUUUUAGUAUUAACUUUUUUUUUUUUUGAGAUGGAGUCUCAUUCUGUUGCCCAGGCUGGAGUGCAGUGGCGUGAUCUCAGCUCACUGCAACCUCCGCCUCCUGGGCUCAAGCCAUUCUCCUGCCUCAGCCUCCUAAGUAGCUGGGAUUACAGGUGUGCGUCACCAAGUCCAGCUAAUUUUUGUAUUUUUAGUAGAGAUGGGUUUUCACCAUGUUGGUCAGGCUGGUCUCAAACUCCUGACCUCAUGAUCCGCCUGCCUCAGCCUCCCAAAGUGCUGGGAUUACAGGUGUGAGCCACAGCGCCUAGGCAGUAUUAUCUUUUCUACAAGCUAUUAAUUGCCUUCAGCUCAAAGUAAUUGUUACGUCAAAGAGGCAUGUUUUGUGAUGACAUAUUCUGGUUUCCUUCAACUCACAGCAGCAUUAUUCAUACUAGCCCCAAAGUAGAAAAACUUAAUAGAUGAACUAAUGAGUGGAUAAGCAAAAUGUGGUAUAUCUAUUGUGUUAAAGAAAAGUUUUUUUUUAUCUGUUUGUAGUCAUAAUUGUGAUGGUUGAGUUUUCAUGUGUGAGAUGUGUAUCACUCAAGCCUUUUUACAAUGUCGGUAUAUUGCCGGGUGCGGUGGCUCAUGCCUGUAAUCCCAGCACUUUGGGAGGCCGAGACGUGCGGAACACCUGAGGUUGGGAGUUCGAGACCAGGCUGACCAACAUGGAGAACCCAUAUUUCUACUAAAAAUACAAAAUUAGCCGUGCGUGGUGGUGCAUGCCUGUAAUCCCAGCUACUCGUGAGGCUGAGGCAGAGAAUCACUUGAACCCGGGAGGCGGAGGUUGCAAUGAGCCAAGAUUGCGCCAUUGCACUCCAGCUUGGGCAACAAGAGCAAAUACUCCAUCUCAAAAAAAAAAAAAAAAAAAGUCUGUAUAUUACAUAAAAAAAAAAAAAAAAAAGAGGCCGGGCGCAGUGGCUCAUGCCUGUAAUCCCAACACUUUGAGAGGCCAAGGUGGGCAGAUCACGAGGUCAGGAGUUUGAGACCAGCCUGGCCAAUAUGGUGAAACCCCAUCUCUACUAAAAAUACAAAAAUUAGCCGGGUGUGGUGGCGGGCGCCUGUAGUCCCAGCUACUCAGGAGCCUGAGGCAGGAGAAUCGCUUGAACCCGGGACGUGGAGGUUGCAGUGAGCCGAGAUCACACCACUGCACUCCAGCCUGGGUGACAGAGUGAGACACUAUCUCAAAAAAAAAAAAAAAAAAAUUAAAAGAAAAAGAAGAAAAAUCAGUGACAUUUGUUAAAGCAUGAUAAGGAAGACUUUACUUGGGACCAUUAUGAUUAUGUAUAGGGACCACUACAGUGGGAUUUUACAGUGGGGAACAGAGUUGGCCUAAACUCUGAAUACAACAUGGGCACGGGGGAAUUUAUAGCCAAGGAGCAGUUUAGGGUCAGUGGAUAGAAAAUUACUAAGGGCCAGGCUCACAUCUGUAAUCCUAGCACUUUGGGAGGGUGAGGCAGGAGGAUUGCUUGAGGCUAGAGUUCGUGACCCGCCUAAGCAACAAAGUGAGAUCCCCAUCUCUACAAAAAAAUUAUUGCAAAAAUCAGCCAGGCGUGGUGGCACACGCUUGCAGUCCUAGCCACUUGGGAGGCUGAGGUGGACAGAUUUCUCGAAUCUAGCAGAUCAAGGCCGCAAUGAGCCGUGAUCUUGCCACUGCACUCGAGCACUGCUGCCUGGGUGACAGAGUGAAACUUUGUCUCAAAAAAGAAAAGAAAAGGGCCGGGCGCGGUGGCUCACGCUUGUAAUCCCAGCACUUUGGGAGGCCGAGG
rnacentral:lncRNA from 1 species